GAGUAAGCUGCCAGAUGAGAUGAGGCGUGUGUUUUCAGGUCAACCUCAGUAUGAAGAUGAUGGCAUGUCGACUGCUGAUGUUCGUUUUCUCUCUGGCUCAAGGUAACCAAGCAGGCCAACCGUUCAUCGUGACCCAGUCCCCAGAUGUGGAGGUGGCCUUUGGGAGCUCUGCAAGGCUGCAGUGUAACAUAGCAGAGCUCUUCUCCAGUUGUUCGCACGUGGACUGGCUGAAGCUGGACCCACGGAAGCCCAUGGUCCUCCAUGUCACUGACAGAGUCAAAAUGGUUAACCCAAAUGAUAUAAACAAUAUUGUUUUUAACAGUGUUUGUUGGGCGACCAUCCCAGAGGUUACAGUCCAGGAUUCGGGCAUGUAUUACUGUGUGCUGUCCCACGGGCAGUUUGCAUACGUUGGCAAUGGAACACGGCUCACGGUUACAGAGCCGAACAGUGUUCCGCCAGCUCCCUCCAUUGAAAUCAUCCCGCCGAUGGCCUACGCCUCCACGGUACCACUCCUGUGUCUGGUGUCCGGUGUCAUCCCUUCCCAGGCCCGUGUCUCCUGGUUGAUCAACGGAACCGUGGAGAAUGGAUGGACAGAGUCUGCCCUUGAGGAGGAUGACGACCCACUGAAAAGGCUCACCCAGAACCAGAUCCUGGUUCCGGCUGAGGAGUGGGAGAAGGGCAUACCGUGUUCCUGCGUGGUGGAGUUUGCGGGGAAGAGCUUCUCCAAAACACUGCAGCACGAUGGUAUGACUUAAACCUAUACUGUGUAUUGACACAAUUUAUAGUUAAGAUGAAGCAUCUAAUAUAUACACAAACGGUACUGCACAUACAGUUCAGAAAAUGUAUAGAGUACCUAAGAUCACUCAACAGGUAACAUGCACAGAGAAGUGUAUCAGGAAUAAUCUCUC
rnacentral:lncRNA from 1 species